CCCCCUCACCUGCGCGAAGGUGAACUCGUGACCUCGUCAUCCAUCCGAGUUGCACGCUCAACUAUGUGCGCGUGGACGUGAACCGCGGGAAGUCCGGUAACGAACAGAGACCCUCUUCUACUCUCCGGUCUGUCCUGUGAAAUGUUCCGUUAACCUCCGGGUGGAUGAGCUCUGAGAUGAACGGUCCACGUAGAGUAAUACUGGUCCUUCUUUCGUGGUGUUCAGUUCUCCAGCUGCUGACAGCACACGCUCAGAGCCAACUGACAGAGACAGACAGUAGACUACAGAGGAGGGCUAAUGCACUGCGGAGGAAACGGGAUCUCCUAGGGGAGGAGACAUUCAGUCCACUUCUCUCUGAAGCAACUCUCCCUCGCAGUGUUCUACACAAUUACACCGCCCGCGAUGCCUCCUCAGAGUACUGUGGCUGUCUGAAUGGGGGCUGGUGUCAGGAGGGAGGUGUGUGUGACUGUGCACAGUUCCAGGCCCUCGGAGACCGCUGCCAGAUCAGUGAGUAACACACACAC
rnacentral:lncRNA from 13 species